UAGGGAAUCUUCCGCAAUGGGCGAAAGCCUGACGGAGCAACGCCGCGUGAGUGAUGAAGGUCUUCGGAUCGUAAAACUCUGUUAUUAGGGAAGAACAAAUGUGUAAGUAACUAUGCACGUCUUGACGGUACCUAAUCAGAAAGCCACGGCUAACUACGUGCCAGCAGCCGCGGUAAUACGUAGGUGGCAAGCGUUAUCCGGAAUUAUUGGGAGUAAAGCGCGCGUAGGCGGUUUUUUAAGUCGGAUGUGAAAGCCCACGGCUCAACCGUUAAGGGUCAUUGGAAACUUGAAAACUUGAGUGCAGAAGAGGAAAGUGGAAUUCCGUGUGUAGCGGUUAAAUGCGCAGCGAUAUGGGGGAACACCAGUGGCGAAAGCGACUUUCUGGUCUGUAACUGACGCUGAUGUGCGAAGGCGUGGGGAUCAAACAGG
rnacentral:rRNA from 1 species